GUUUCCUGGCCAUCCUGAUAGCGGUUGGAGUCGGCCUUAUUGUUCAUUUCUCGGAAAACCGAAAGUUCGAGUGUGUAUUACCGGAAAUCAGGUCCGGCGACGCUACAGGGCAGCUCCACGAGCAGAGCACACGGCGGACGACACAAGAGCACAGCUACAAAUUGUUUUAUUUCGACUGGAAAGGCCGUGGUGAACUAUCUCGAAUGAUUUUCACAGCAGUGGGUCAAACCUUCAUCGACCGUAGGAUAGACUUCUUCAAAAAGUGACCCGUUAUUAAAUACACAAUGCCCCAGUAUGUCGUAGCAGUGAUCGAGGUUGACGGACGGACGAACAUCACACAGAGCAUGGCGAUAACUCGCUACCUGGCCUGG